CACAUACACACCGGUGUUGAGUCAGGGCCCAGUGACCAGGCUCAGAGGGAAACAGGGAAGCAGCAGCUAAAGGAAGCCUGGGCCUGGGAAAAUGCUGCUGAGGCCAGGCCUGGGAACAAAGGCGGGCAGGUUAGUACAGCUGCGGGUGCUCUGCCAGAAGCAUGUUGUGCAGCUCACUCUGCUGGCUCUCAUAACCAAGUUCAGACAACCUUCUGUCUGCCAGCCACAAAGACAACGCCCACAGCCCCCACCCCAGACGGAGAUCGGAGUCAUUUCCAUGAUCGCUGUGUCUCACUCUUCCCAUCACUAAAAACAGGGACAACAGCCCUACCUCAUAGGAUGGAGAACAAAGUAAGAUAAGUUUUGGUUUUGUUUGCAAGCACUGUUGGACAUUUGCAUGAGCUGUUUGGCCUGUGGGCUCUGUGAUCACCAAGCAUGGAGCUAAGCUGAGCUGCAGAGAAGCCGUGUGCUCAGCUGCAGGUCAGGCUGCACUGAGACCAUGCCAGGGCUGUGGAGGACCACAGGCCCCCCUGGGGCAGCCGGGCUCAGAGACUGCUGCUGGCCUAUUUGAUGGACAGGGCCAAUAGCUGAAACACCUCCAUGUGGGUUCUCCACUCAACCCAAGAUACCUAGACGCAGGAUGCAUCCACUCUUCAUGUCUCCAGCGGGCAGGUGAGAGGGGCUCCAUGCUCUCCUCAAACAGCAGUCAAUGCUCAAGAGAAUCCCACUGAGCCCUCUUCCCAGCUUUCCCUCGGCAUGGGCUCGGUUUCCCAGGCUCCUGAGGAGUGCACCAUCUGGUCAGGAAUGUGCUUGGAACUUAGCUCAAGAGCCAUCAACCUCAUCUUGCCUAGUAUUUGUUUUCCAUGUAGAUGUCUAUCUUCCAUCCUCUCCCUCCACUCAUCAAAGUGGGUUCAAAGGCUGCAGUGUUUCAUAAUUUAUUUCUGCAUCUCCC
ensembl:lncRNA